CCUACGGGAGGCAGCAGUAGGGAAUCUUGGACAAUGGGGGCAACCCUGAUCCAGCCAUGCCGCGUGAGUGAUGAAGGCCCUAGGGUCGUAAAGCUCUUUCGCCUGUGAUGAUAAUGACAGUAGCAGGUAAAGAAACCCCGGCUAACUCCGUGCCAGCAGCCGCGGUAAUACGGAGGGGGUUAGCGUUGUUCGGAAUUACUGGGCGUAAAGCGCGCGUAGGCGGAUUGGAAAGUUAGAGGUGAAAUCCCGG
rnacentral:rRNA from 1 species